GGGGCCGGGACCGAGCCCGCGUCCGAUCCUAUUGCUUUGCCCCGCAGCCCGCGCGGAGCCGCUCCUGCCGGCGCCCCGCUCUCGUCGGCGUGUGCGAUGGAGCUGCCGGGCCUGGGCCAGCCCUGCUCCGCGAGCUUCUGCCGGCGGCUGGACUUUCUUCCUUUAAAAUGUGAUGCAUGUGAAGAGGUUUUCUGCAAGGAUCAUAUCGCCUAUGACCAGCACAAAUGUACCUCUGCAUACAAGAAGGAUGUGCAGGUUCCAGUAUGUCCUUUAUGUAACACCCCCAUUCCUGUGAGAAGGGGAGAAAUGCCAGAUGUUGUAGUUGGAGCACACAUGGACAGGGACUGCAAAUACAAUCCAGCUCAGCAUAAAGAGCGGAUCUUCACAAACAAGUGCUUGAAGUCAGGCUGCAAAAGGAAGGAGAUGAUGAAACUAGUUUGUGACCAGUGCCAUGGAAACUUCUGCAUAAAACAUCGGCAUCCACUGGAUCAUGACUGCAAGGGGGGAGGCCGUCCCAUCUCCAAAGCAGGGCAGAGCUACCUUCGUUGUCCUGUGCAGUAGGAUUCUAGUGCAGUUGGGUGACCAGUCUUGCAGAGAUGACAAGAAGUGGAUGGAUAAGCAAGAUCUCGCCAUAUAUCUGCACAAUAAAACGAUGUUCAGCAUGGUUCUGUUUCCUUGUAGGUAUGCGGCUAUAAUGAGAGCCUCCAAAUCCAAUGUCAAGUUCACGGGAUCAAGCACGGUGUCUAAUGGGCUUCUACAGCAUAACGGAUGCAGACAAUAAAGCAGGGGUCAUUCCUAACACCUGGAUCAAAUUUGUGCACCUACACACUUUCUACGCUGCAGACUGAAGACUAAAUUAAAUUAUUUUUGUACUUUUUAAUAUCUCUACUAUUAAACAUUUUUUCCUUUUGCAAAGAAUGGUAACUUGUAUAUAUUUUUUUUGAGUAUCUGAAGACACAGUAAAAAAGCACAAACCAUGUUCUAACUGGAGAACUAGGGAAGAAGCAAACAUCUACAUGGUGUAAAAAGAAGCUAAAGAUUGAAAAUGAUAGUUAAGAACCAUUGUACUUGCUUCUGGUGGAUUAGGACCUAACUUGCAUGGGGAGCUGAGGGAGACAUGCAACAGCAGUCCAUGCUUACAUCUACUUGGAAACAGGAUAUGGCCAUACAGCACUUCAUUUACUGAGCAGUUAAUAUUGUCCAUGUGAGGCAUGAUUUUGGGCAGGCAGUGGCCAGGAACUGGCAGGUGUUUAUUUUUUAAACUGCUUGACAUGCAAAUCUACUUGCCCCUUUUGAGAUGUUUGGUAGAGAUGCCUGUACUACAGCACAAUUAUCAUGGAAGUGAAAGUUCCAGGGACUAAAAGAUGUGAAUCUGUUUGCCUUCCUCUGGUACCCCAAAGUAAAUCUGCUGUCCUAUAGUAGGGGCAAGAAAGAAGAUGCUAUCUUUGUAAAAGGGGAGUUAAUACACCUAUCCCAUCAUUUGCUGGUGCGCAACAACAUGUAUUCCUUUUCUUUCUUCCUGUAAAGUGAGCCUAGAGAGCCGCUUGUUUGAAAGGGUGGUUACAAAACACA